GGCUGGUCCACAGGUAGUGAGUUAUCUCAAUAGACUGUUCACGGUCAGUUACGGAUCCAACUCCCUGUUCUACUCUUUCCCCCGUUCUCACUACUACACUUGCCUAGUCUUAA
ensembl:Y_RNA Y_RNA Y RNA